CCUACGGGAGGCAGCAGUGAGGAAUAUUGGUCAAUGGGCGCAAGCCUGAACCAGCCAAGUCGCGUGAGGGAUGACGGUCCUAUGGAUUGUAAACCUCUUUUGUCGGGGAGCAAGGCCCGCCACGUGUGGCGGGAAGGAGAGUACCCGAAGAAAAAGCAUCGGCUAACUCCGUGCCAGCAGCCGCGGUAAUACGGAGGAUGCGAGCGUUAUCCGGAUUUAUUGGGUUUAAAGGGUGCGUAGGCGGAAGGUUAAGUCAGCGGUAAAAUGGCGGUGCUCAAAACCGGCCUGCCGUUGAAACUGGUCUUCUUGAGUGAGCGAGAAGUAUGCGGAAUGCGUGGUGUAGCGGUGAAAUGCAUAGAUAUCACGCAGAAUUCCGAUUGCGAAGGCAGCAUACCGGCGCUCAACUGACGCUGAGGCACGAAAGCGUGGGGAUCGAACAGGAUUAGAUACCCUAGUAGUC
rnacentral:rRNA from 1 species